rnacentral:rRNA from 1 species
UCCACGCCGUAAACGAUGAUUACUAGCUGUUGGCGAUAAACUGUCAGUGGCUAAGCGAAAGUGAUAAGUAAUCCACCUGGGGAGUACGAUCGCAAGGUUGAAACUCAAAGGAAUUGACGGGGGCCCGCACAAGCGGAGGAGCAUGUGGUUUAAUUCGAUGAUACGCGAGGGACCUUACCCAGGCUUAAAUGUAGAUUGCAUGAGGUGGAAACACUUCUUUCCUUCGGGACUAU